rfam:Candidatus Chloracidobacterium thermophilum B chromosome 1, complete sequence.
GGUUAAGCAAGUAAGGGCGCUUGGUGGAUGCCUUGGCGCAUACAGGCGAUGAAGGACGUGGCUAGCUGCGAUAAGCCUCGUGGAGCCGCAAGCAGGCAGUGAUACGGGGAUUUCCGAAUGGGGUAACCCAGCCUCUUAGAGGCUAGCCCCGCAAGGGGCGGCGAACCCAGGGAAGUGAACCAUCUCAGUACCUGGAGGAAAAGAAAACAACCGUGAUUCCCUGAGUAGCGGCGAGCGAAACGGGAAGAGCCUAAACCAGUCACCCUGGUGGCUGGGGUCGUGGGGGUGCUUCGGGCGCAAGCCGGGAAGUUACCAAACAACGUGUUAGCCGAAGUGCUUGGAAAAGCACGCCAAAGAACGUGAAAGCCGUGUAAGCGAAAACACGUUGUCUUUCUGGAAGCACUACCCGAGUAACGCGGGACACGUGAGAUCUUGCGUGAAUCCGGGAGAACCAUCUCCUAAGGCUAAAUACUCGUAUGCGACCGAUAGUGAACUAGUACCGUGAGGGAAAGGUGAAAAGAACCCCGGUGAGGGGAGUGAAAUAGAACCUGAAACCAAGCGCUUACAAGCAGUGGGAGGGCUACGUGCCUGACCUCGUGCCUUUUGCAUAAUGAGCUGGCUAGUGAAUGUCACGAGCAAGGUUAAGCGAUAAGCGAGCCGUAGCGAAAGCGAGUCUUAACAGGGCGUUGAGUUCGUGGCAUUCGGACGUGAAGCGGAUUGAUCUAUUCUUGGCCAGGUUGAAGCGUAGGUAAAACUACGUGGAGGACCGAACCAGUGUUGGUUGAAAACAGCUUGGAUGAGCUGAGAAUAGGGGUGAAAGGCCAAUCAAAAUCCGUGAUAGCUCGUUCUCCCCGAAAUAUCUUUAGGGAUAGCCUCAAGUAUAUUCACGAGCGGUAAAGCACUAUUUGAGCUAGGGGCCUUACCCGGUUACCAAACUCAGAGAAACUCUGAAUGCUCGUGAAGUGAGCUUGGGAGUCAGACGGUGGGGGCUAAGCUCCAUCGUCAAGAGGGAAACAGCCCAGAUCAAUGGCUAAGGUCCCGGAGUUGCAGCUAAGUGGGAAAGGAUGUGAAGAUGCCCAGACAGCUAGGAGGUUGGCUUAGAAGCAGCCAUCCUUUAAAGAAAGCGUAAUAGCUCACUAGUCGAGUGUCUUUGCACCGAUAAUGUAACGGGGCUCAAGCUGCACACCGAAGCCUUGAACUCUGUGAGGAGUGGUAGGGGAGCAUUCUCGAACUGCGAAGCCGAACUGAGAAGUCGGAUGGAGUGUCGAGAAAAGACUUUGCCAGCAUAAGUAGCGAUAACGACUGUGAGAAUCAGUCGCGCCGCAAGCCUAAGGUUUCCUGAGUAAAGUUCGUCUGCUCAGGGUUAGCCGAUCCCUAAGGAAAAGCCGAAAGGCGUAUUCGAUGGGUGUCCGGUGAAUAUUCCGGAGCUGAAAGCAAGCGUUUGAGCAUGGGGUGACGCAUUCUCAAGGGAUAGACUACUGAUGGAAUAGUAGUUGAUCCGCUCUGGCUUGAUCCGCAGGCAAAUCCACGGAUCACGAGAGUUGGGGCGGGGACGAAAGUCCUGCUUCGGCAGGACGCAAGUAUCUGGAGAGGGUGCCAAGAAAAACCUCGUUUGCGAGCUUGUUUUUCAAUCGUACCGCAAACCGACACAGGUAGGCGAGGAGAGUAUCCUAAGGCGCAUGUGAGAACACUCGUUCAGGAACUCGGCAAAUUGACCCCGUAACUUCGGGAGAAGGGGUGCCUGCCUUGCGCAGGCCGCAGAGAAUAGCAUCAGGCGACUGUUUACUAAAAACACAGGUCUCCGCUAAGUCGUCAAGACGACGUAUGGGGGCUGACGCCUGCCCAAUGCUGGAAGGUUAAAAGGAGGGGUGAGAUCAUAUCAGGCCCUGAAUUGAAGCCCCAGUGAAUGGCGGCCGUAACUAUAACGGUCCUAAGGUAGCGAAAUUCCUUGUCGGGUAAGUUCCGACCCGCACGAAUGGCGUAACGAUCUGAUGACUGUCUUAACGAGUGGCACAGCGAAUUUGUAGUACCGGUGAAGAUGCCGGUUUCCCGCAUCUAGACGGAAAGACCCCGUGCACCUUUACUACAGCCUGAUAUUGAACUGAAAAGUUUUUUGCGCAGGAUAGGUGGGAGACUGCGAAGCUGGGCUUUCGGGUUCAGUGGAGUCGCCGGUGAGAUACCACCCUGAAAGCUUUUGAGUUCUAAUCUGCCCGCAAGGGAGUGACAGUGUCAGGUGGGUAGUUUGACUGGGGCGGUCGCCUCCUAAAAAGUAACGGAGGCUCCCAAAGGUUGGCUCAAGGUGUUUGGAAAUCACCUGUAGAGUGUAAAGGCAUAAGCCAGCUUGACUGUGAGACAGACAAGUCGAACAGAGACGAAAGUCGGGCUUAGUGAUCCGGCGGUUCCGAAUGGGAGGGCCGUCGCUCAAAGGAUAAAAGGUACGCCGGGGAUAACAGGCUGAUCGCCGCCAAGAGUCCACAUCGACGCGGCGGUUUGGCACCUCGAUGUCGGCUCAUCGCAUCCUGGGGCUGAAGAAGGUCCCAAGGGUUCGGCUGUUCGCCGAUUAAAGCGGUACGUGAGCUGGGUUUAGAACGUCGCGAGACAGUUCGGUCCCUAUCUGGUGUGGGCGUUGGAAGUUUGACGGAGGCUGACCCUAGUACGAGAGGACCGGGUUGGACCAACCUCUGGUGUACCUGUUGUUGCGCCUAGCAGCACCGCAGGGUAGCUAAGUUGGGUAUAGAUAAGCGCUGAAAGCAUAUAAGCGCGAAGCUAGUCCGAAGAUAAGACUUCCCCAUCAGGUUGGUAGAAGACUACUACGUUGAUAGGCGAGAGGUGUAAGUGCAGUAAUGCAUUGAGCUGACUCGUACUAAUAACCGAUCGGCUUAACCAC